UGAUCUGCGCCUGGGCUGACUCCAGUUCACUUCUCUUCAUGGAAAGCCGGUGCUGAUAGUCAUCGAGUGACCGCUGCAGCUGCUCAUUUACCGCCCUGAAAAACCAGUGGACAGAACAAAUGGCGUUCUCGAUCUCUCAGACAGAAGGAACUUCUGGAGAAGGUACAUCACCACCAGAAUGAAGGAACUGAGAAAGAGAAUGUGAGAUUGAACGCGGAAAGGGCGGGAGAGGAGAGCCUCAUACUCUGUUGGAAAUUUCUCAGAGGAACUCCAGGGAUACAAAACAGUCCACCUGGAGCUUGGAUGCCCUGCCCCAGCCACAAUCUGAAACUCCUAUUUGAAAGAUGAAUCAUUUGACUGUACCCCUUGGCUAAGACUGAAGCUCCUGUUUCAAAGACAAAUUCCUUGAUUGUGCCCCCCAGCUAAAAACUAACCGGACCUCUGCUCUUCUACAGAUAGCCAUUUGCAUCACGGCUCCCUCCU